rnacentral:tRNA from 1 species
CCUUCGAUAGCUCAGUUGGUAGAGCGGUGGACUGUAGCGGUUGUGAAAUGUUAACGCAGAUAUCCAUAGGUCGCUGGUUCAACUCCGGCUCGAAGGA